CCCGCCCCCGCCCCCGCCACCUCCCCCGCCGUCGCCCAAUUCCCCCAGCCCCCACCCUCGGCUGCUGCCCGAGCUUCCUCCACGCGCCGUGCAGUCUCCACGGCGACGCUGCGUUCCCGACUCGGAGCCCCCAGCUCCGCGCGAGCAGCUAGCCGGGCUGGCUCUCGCCCGGUGUGCAGUCUGACCCAGCCCCCACAGCAGACCACCCCCAGACCGGGCGCCCGAGUCUGCGGACCGCUCUACCGCACCUGGUUCUGGCUCUGGGCCCCGGGCCCCGUGGCUGCCAGGGGCCGCCGGGAAGGGAGGAUGCGCGCCACUGGGGUGCGCCUGGCUUGCGGCACCCUCCUCCCGCAGUGGUCGGAAGAGACAGCAAAGAACAAACAGAAUGGCAGAUUGCUAAUGUUUGAUCCAAACGAAAAAGUGAUGAUUGAAUCAAACGAAGCAAUGUCAGAGUAAGAAGAUGUCUUUGAUUGUGCAGCUGAUCUCUCCCAUGCCUUUUAAGCAAUUAGAACUAGAUAAUGCAGCCAUUUGUCACCCAAUUAAAUUUGAAAGGCCAGAAAUGCAUGGAUUAGCACUUCAGCUUUUGCUGCAGUCAAAGCAAUUGUUACUAUAGAUAGAAGGACAGUUAAAAUGAAAAAUGAAUUUUGAUAAAAAUGCAGAAGUAUAGAUAAUAUUCACUUCUACUUUUUAAUGCUUAAACACCCUGUAUUCUGUAUUUUACUUGUAUCAUAAUUUUCAUUGCUCAUUCCUAUUUCCCUUUGAUACUUAUUUCUUUCACAAUAUUUCUUCAAGUGAAUAUGUACUUUAAAAUUAACAAAUUAUUUACUAUAACAUGAAUUGUUACUACUCAAUAAAGAAAGUAAUCACCUCAACUAGUUGAA
rnacentral:lncRNA from 10 species